rnacentral:tRNA from 1 species
GAGACAUUAGCUCAGUCGGUAGAGCAUCUGACUUUUAAUCAGAGGGUCGCAGGUUCGAACCCUGCAUGUCUCAUCA